CCUCGGCCCCCCGUUCGGCCUCGGCGCGGUGGUCCCUUUGCAGCCCUUGGCCCUCCCGCUGGCCCCCCCCCAGCUCUGGCUUUUCCCAGGCUCCCGGCGCGGUGAAAGCUUCUUUCACCAGCGGUUCCCCUCUUUCCAAAAAAGCAUCACCUUGCCAGCUCCCUUCCUCUCGCCGGCUGCCAGGAAAAUAAAAAUUAGGGCAAGGAGAGGGAGGGAGAGAAAAAAAAAAACCAAUGAACUUGUUUCCAGCUUUUCCUUCGGAUCAGUCGUCCAGCACCGGGAGAAAAAUAUUUCUCCUGUAAAAAUAUCCCCUCUCCGUGCAGGCUCUGAGUCCUUCGGCGCCGGACGCUGGCCGGAGACGCGGGCUCGGCAGUGGAGGACACUGCUGGUGGCUACGCUGGGUUCUCUUUGAUGGCUGACACUGGCUCUGGGCACCGCUGGCUCUGAUGGUGAUCCAUCCUGGGGAGAAAAGUGACCAUUUUGGACCUGUGCCACCCAGGAAGGAUGUGCCCGUGUGGCUUACACGUGGUUCCAAGCACCGCGGUGCCUUGCACAUGGAGCAGAGCAUCCCUCGUGCCUGCAGCUCCCUGUGAGGCAAGAAGCGGGAUGCUGGGGAAGGCUUCUCCUUCUCCGAUGUUCACAGCCCACCAGGAACAGCCCCAGCUCUCUCCCAGCAGCCCGAGGUGUGUGGGAGACAGCCCAAUGGGCACCGGCACCAGCGAAACAUCUCUGCCCCAUUUCUGGUGCCAUGGAUCUCCCCGUCACCACCAGCCAGGAUGGGAAGCUGCUCCCACCGGCCUCCAGCUCCUCUGGCAGAGCAUCUCUUGGGUGGGCCAAAAUCCCCCCUGGGUGGCCACAAUCCCCUCUGGGAUGGCCAAAAUCCCCCCUGGAUUUUUCCGGGUAGGAAGAUCUGUUGUUUUUGCCUGCUAUGGGAGCAGCUCGCUGAGGAGGAAAGCGGAGCAGAGCCCGCAGAUGCGAUGGGUUUAGCAGAGACCUGGAAGAAAAACCCAGCUGGGAGGGGAGCAUCAGCCUCCUGAACUAUCCAACAGCCAGAGGGUGGCGAAAACAGCUGGAACAGCUGGAGCAGCUCAGAAUAAGGGACACCACCACGGGUGUGUGGAGGAACAAGGAUGCUCUGAGCUGCGUGGGGACCCCCUGAGCCUUGUGGGGAUCCCCUGAGCCUUGUGGGGACCUGCCACCUCACCUGCCUGUAGUGCUCCUGAGACCAGCAGUGUGUUGGGGACGGAGGUGCUGAGCCACAGCAUGGAGCCAGGUGGGUCGUCACCCUGAGGACCGCACAGCGGGUGUCCUGGCAGGUGCUGUUGGAGAUGUUCACCUACGAACCUCUUGCCGCACCCUCCCGAGGUCCCCUGGGAUUGGAGGGACAUAAGAAUCCAGUGGGAGCAGCAGCCCAGCCAGGCCCUCGCCCCACUGCGAGUGGGUGCAGGUUUGGCCAUGGGUAGCCCCAACCCCUUGCCCAGGCUCCAGGGCCAUCACGGCGAGGGGUGCCCGGCUCCACUGGUGGGGUGCAUGGAGCUGCUGCUCCCCAGGACGUGGCCUCCUCCCAGCCUGCGCUUGCUCUGGGAGCUGACAGCUGUAUUUAUGGAUUGGGUGGUUAACCAGUGGUUUUGGCCAAAUGUCCCAAAGGCCUCAGGGCUGCCUGCAGCUUGGACAUGUCACAGCCACGCCUGGGGGCUUGCAGGGGGUCAGCCAUGGGGGGCAGCCUGGGCGAGACGUGGCUCAGUGGAGUGGGCUGCCUUGGCGGGUGAUGGAGGUAAGCCAUGAGCCCACCUAGACACGAUUCACCCUGGCCACGAGCCCCCGCCAGCUGCAAGCCCUCCUCUCUGCCACAAGCUUCCCUGUCCAUGUUCCCCCCCGAGCCAUAAAAUACCCCUGGCUAUGACCCCCCACGGCCACAAGCCCCUGUGGCCAUGAGCCCCCUGGCUAUGACCUCCCUUGGCCAUGAGCCCCCUGUACCCAUGAGCCCCCCGGCUAUGAUCUCCCCUGGCCGUGAGCCCCCCCCAGC